GGGGUAAUAGCUCAGCUGAUUAGAGCGCUGCCUUUGCAAGGCAGAGGUCCUGGGUUUGAGUCCCAGUUACUCCACCA
rnacentral:tRNA from 1 species